CCAUGUUUAUUCAUUCAGUCAAUAUUCUAUGAUUUCUUAAACUAGCAUUGUUCUUGCAACUGAAAAGAUAUUUUACAUGCACUCUUUGAUUAAUAACUAUAUUGGUUAUAGGAGCAGAGUGAAGAGCUUGCGCAUACUUUUGUGGACUAGAUUGACUCUGAAAGAUAAAUAGCAGUAGAGUUGUCCAUGCCCAAGAGUUUGAUGUUUCAGUAACAAUGUUGAAUAUUGCAAUCAUUCUCUACCAUAUCCAUGAGUAUGCACAGUCAUUAUCUGUUCUCAAAAAGUUGUUCCAGAAUAUCGAGCCAAUUAAAGAGUAAAUAGCUCUCCGUGUAUGCCUUCUUCUACUGGAUGUUGCAUUAGCUUGUGAAGAUAUUUUACAAGUC